AUGGGCGAGCAUGAGGCAACGUCGGGGCCCGCCGGCUUUGCUGCCGAUGAGCUGCACCAGCCAAUCGUCUGGUCUGGUAGCUCAGAGACACAUGCUGUGGGCCAUUCUAUGACCAUGGGCCAAGGCAGGAACGGCCACGUUCAUGGCCCAUGCAACGGGCAGCCAGCGGUGUUUGGUGCAGUUGCAUAUGGCCAGGUCGGAGAGCGCGGUGGGCAGCUUCUGGGCCAGGACGCCAUGGAGAGCACGCCGGCUGGGCCGCAGGUAGGCGUCGGCCUAUCGGAUGACUGCGUUCAAGCCUUCCUGGCGAGGGCGACAAAGGAUGUGCCAAGACCGCUGCUGCCUAACCCCAGACCCCCUGCUUGCCGCCCUAGGAAGGCAGCGCGCGCUCCAGCGACGGCGACAAGACGCAGUAACAGACUGCAGGGGAAGAAGCUCCUGUUCGGCGACGGCGGCUCUGUCAUGAAACAAGCAAGGAUGUUAGUCAUGUCCAAAAGGGGGCUGGCAAUUCCGGAGCAAGGAGAGGUGGAAGACGACCGUCUCGAGAGAUAUGCUCGAGCCUUUGAUGAACCUCUCUCCCCACCGCAGAUCAAGGCUUUGAUGACUCUAGCUCGGACAGGAAAGGAGCAUAUCUUAGUGCCGCCGGCCACGGCUUAG
rnacentral:rRNA from 1 species